GGCUUUGUUAUCAAACUGAUGCUUGAAAGAGAAGAUUCUUAUACCAAAACACAAAAAAAA
rnacentral:sRNA from 1 species